rnacentral:rRNA from 1 species
GAGUACCACGGGACACGUGAAACCCUGUGGGAAGCAGGAGGGACCACCCUCCAAGGCUAAAUACUACCUAGUGACCGAUAGCGUAUAGUACCGUGCGGGAAAGGUGAAAAGAACCCCGGGAGGGGAGCGAAAUAGAACCUGAAACCCUGCACUUACAAGCUGUGGAAGCACAUUUCUUGUGUGACCGCGUACUUUUUGUAGAACGGGCCAACGAGUUACGUUA